AUUGAACGCUGGCGGCAUGCUUUACACAUGCAAGUCGAACGGUAACAGGCCGCAAGGUGCUGACGAGUGGCGAACGGGUGAGUAAUGCAUCGGAACGUGCCCAGUCGUGGGGGAUAACUACUCGAAAGAGUAGCUAAUACCGCAUACGAUCUAUGGAUGAAAGCGGGGGACCGUAAGGCCUCGCGCGAUUGGAGCGGCCGAUGUCAGAUUAGGUAGUUGGUGGGGUAAAGGCUCACCAAGCCAACGAUCUGUAGCUGGUCUGAGAGGACGACCAGCCACACUGGGACUGAGACACGGCCCAGACUCCUACGGGAGGCAGCAGUGGGGAAUUUUGGACAAUGGGCGCAAGCCUGAUCCAGCAAUGCCGCGUGCAGGAAGAAGGCCUUCGGGUUGUAAACUGCUUUUGUACGGAACGAAACGGCUCUGGUUAAUACCCGGGGCUAAUGACGGUACCGUAAGAAUAAGCACCAGCUAACUACGUG
rnacentral:rRNA from 1 species